GAUCCUGGCUCAGGAUGAACGCUAGCUACAGGCUUAACACAUGCAAGUCGAGGGGCAGCAUGGUCUUAGCUUGCUAAGGCCGAUGGCGACCGGCGCACGGGUGAGUAACGCGUAUCCAACCUGCCUUACACUCUUGGACAGCCUUCUGAAAGGGAGAUUAAUACAAGAUGUUAUCGUUAGUAAGCAUUUUCGCAUGAUUAAAGGUUUACCGGUGUAAGAUGGGGAUGCGUUCCAUUAG
rnacentral:rRNA from 1 species